ACAUUGCUGGAGAAAUGGGGCCACAAGCUACAGAAUGUGGUGGCCUCUAGAAGCUGGAAAAGGUAAGAAACAGAGCCAGAAAGGAUCACAGCAUGGCUGACGCCUUGAUGUUAGCCCAGGGAGACCUGUGUCAGACUUUGACCUCCACAAUUGUAAGAUAAUAAAUUUGUGUUGUUUUGAGCCACUAAAUCUGGGUUGUAAACAACAAAAAAUUUUUUUACAGCAAGAAUAUGAAACUAAUACAAUACCCAUGACCAAGUUCUUAAUUUUUUUUUCUUUAGAAUGCAAGGAAAGGAAAACUAGAACUUAAAAUCUGACAGCCUGUCACUUCUUUGGAUUGCAAGGCCCUGCAACCAUCUCUGGAGCUGUUGCAUGCCAAGCACUGACUGAGGCACUGUGGAGGUUAUGGAAGAAAUUCAGGUGAUGUGCCUUUCCUCCAGACUGUACAAUUUAGCUGAAGAGAUGAGACUAACACAAAUAUAACAAUAAGAAAACAAUAAGACCACAUACAAUCAAAUGCUAGGUAGAGUGUAACAACAGUUUAAGAGAUGAGAGAAAGAAGGUUUCUGGAGAUGGUUGGAAAAGGCAGGUUGGGCUCUACAGAGAUGCAGAGACAUCAGCUGACUCUCACAGACUGAGUAGGAUGGAUGCACAGCCCAUCCCAGGAGCAGAGGCCUCUGGGUACCAUGAAAGGAAAGGCCCGUUAGAGAAAUACUGAAAAUUAUGAGUAAGCUGACCACAUUUUCCAUAAAAAUAUCCGGACGUAUGGCUGGACACAUGGUCUAACAACAGGAAAGAAUAUUUUUAAUUGGGGCCGUACCAGAAAAUCUAGAACAUAUGGUGACUCUAUUUACGGGCCAAGAAAAUCCUAAUACAAGAGAGGGCUGAAGUAACCGACCCCAGGUAGACAAGACACAGCCACACCAUCUGAGAGGCUGCUAGACUAUUUCCCCAGUCAUCAGAGUUAAUGUUCUUCAUUAAGAUUUCCGUUAAUCUUUUCAGAGAAAAGGUCAGUGCCUGAACAAGAGAAGAUAUUUGGAGAAUUUAUAUUCAGAUUUCUUAAAUACAUCCUUUAAUAUUUUCUCAAAUAAUUUUUGUAGUAGGCAGGGUAUAAAUAAUGACUGCAAAAAUGUUUCUUCCACCUGGGGUAAUACAAUAAAAUCCAAUUUAAAGUUUCCUUUCCUGUAAGAAAAAAGAGAACAUCCAUACCCUGUGAAGUUCCAGGCUUGUUAUCAGAGACUUCAUUCAUAUUGAAAAAUAUAUUUUAAACUACCAAGAUUGUUAUAUGUAAUUUUGCCUUUUAUGUCCCUGAUGUCUCACUGUUUUUCUCACUGUUUUAAUAGCUUGCUGUCUGAAAUAAAUACAUGCCAGAAGCUUCCUUA